GGGCGUAUAGCUCAGUGGUAGAGCGUCCGCUUUGCAUGCGGAAGGCCUAGGGUUCGAUCCCCCAUUCGUCCA
rnacentral:tRNA from 1 species